GUAGGUGAACCUGCGGAAGGAUCAUUAACACGUUUCGUUCCGAACGUUUUUGACCCAUUUCAUUUUCCGUGCACAAAACUGCGUCCGGCCUCCCAGCCGCUCACCGGGUUUACUCGGUGUUGCCUGUUGGGCGUCUUCGGGAUCCAAGGCGAGUUGCUUGCGCUCUCUAGGUUGCUUUAGGUGACCUAUUGAGUUGUGGGUUUCUCAGCCUCCCGAAUGGCGUUGCCACCUCACCCAAACCCUUUAAUCUAACUGAUCUGAACUUUUAGUUGAGAAAAAUGGGCUUCGGCACGUUUUAUCAACGAUUUUGAACAAACAACAACUCUUAACAACGGAUAUCUUGGUUCUC
rnacentral:misc_RNA from 1 species